AGAAAUCUUUUUUCGGGCCAUUCCCCCUACCUCAAAUUAAUAUCAAUCACUAUUUAGAAAAUGGAUUUUUUUGUUUUGGCAAGACCAUGAGAGCUUUUACUGGGCAAGAAGACAAGAGAUGGAGAGUCCAGCCGGGCCUGCGCUUAAGUGCGCGGUCUUGCUAGGCUUGUAAGUUUCUUUCUUGCUAUUCCAAACGGUGAGAGAUUUCUGUGCUUUUGUUAUAGGACAAUUAAAACCGUUUCAAUACAACACACUGUGGAGUUUUCAUAUCUUUGCAACUUUUUCUUUGGGCAUUCGAGCAAUCGGGGCCCAGAGGUAACAAACACAAACAAUUUUAUUUAUUCAUUAAAUUUUUGUCAAAAACAAGAAUUUUCGUAACUGGAAAUUUUAAAAUAUUAAAAACUUUCAACAACGGAUCUCUUGGUUCUCGCAUCGAUGAAGAACGCAGCGAAAUGCGAUACGUAAUGUGAAUUGCAGAAUUCCGUGAAUCAUCGAAUCUUUGAACGCACAUUGCGCCCCUUGGUAUUCCAGGGGGCAUGCCUGUUUGAGCGUCAUUUCCUUCUCAAACAUUCUGUUUGGUAGUGAGUGAUACUCUUUGGAGUUAACUUGAAAUUGCUGGCCUUUUCAUUGGAUGUUUUUUUUCCAAAGAGAGGUUUCUCUGCGUGCUUGAGGUAUAAUGCAAAGUACGGUCGUUUUAGGUUUUACCAACUGCGGCUAAUCUUUUUUAUACUGAGCGUAUUGGAACGUUAUCGAUAAGAAGAGAGCGUCUAGGCGAACAAUGUUCUUAAAGUUUGACCUCAAAUCAGGUAGGAGUACCCGCUGAACUUAAGCAUAUCAAUAAGCGGAGGAAAAGAAACCAACCGGGAUUGCCUUAGUAACGGCGAGUGAAGCGGCAAAAGCUCAAAUUUGAAAUCUGGUACCUUCGGUGCCCGAGUUGUAAUUUGGAGAGGGCAACUUUGGGGCCGUUCCUUGUCUAUGUUCCUUGGAACAGGACGUCAUAGAGGGUGAGAAUCCCGUGUGGCGAGGAGUGCGGUUCUUUGUAAAGUGCCUUCGAAGAGUCGAGUUGUUUGGGAAUGCAGCUCUAAGUGGGUGGUAAAUUCCAUCUAAAGCUAAAUAUUGGCGAGAGACCGAUAGCGAACAAGUACAGUGAUGGAAAGAUGAAAAGAACUUUGAAAAGAGAGUGAAAAAGUACGUGAAAUUGUUGAAAGGGAAGGGCAUUUGAUCAGACAUGGUGUUUUGUGCCCUCUGCUCCUUGUGGGUAGGGGAAUCUCGCAUUUCACUGGGCCAGCAUCAGUUUUGGUGGCAGGAUAAAUCCAUAGGAAUGUAGCUUGCCUCGGUAAGUAUUAUAGCCUGUGGGAAUACUGCCAGCUGGGACUGAGGACUGCGACGUAAGUCAAGGAGCGGAUAUAGAAAGGAAGAGAAUUUAAAAUUA
rnacentral:rRNA from 1 species